AGGAAUUCCUAGUAAGCGCAAGUCAUCAGCUUGUGCUGAUUACGUCCCUGCAAAAUGUACACACCGCCCGUCGCUUUUACCGAUUGAGUGUUCAGGUGAACCUUCUUGAUAGUGUUCGCAUUAAAAAUUAAGUAAACCUUAGCACUUAGAGGAAAAAGAAGUCGUAACAAGGUUUCCGUAGGUGAACCUGCGGAAGGAUC
rnacentral:rRNA from 2 species